rnacentral:tRNA from 1 species
GCCCCUGUGGCCUAAUGGACAAGGCAUCGGUCUCCUAAACCGAGGAUUGCGGGUUCGAGUCCCGCCAGGGGUA